rnacentral:misc_RNA from 1 species
GAUGAAGAACGUAGCGAGAUGCGAUAAGUAAUGUGAAUUGCAGAAUUCAGUGAAUCAUCGAAUCUUUGAACGCACCUUGCGCCCUUUGGUAUUCCGAAGGGCAUGCCUGUUUGAGUGUCAUGAAACCUCACCCCACUUGGGUUUUUGCCUGAGCGGUGGUGUAUUGGGUGUUGCCUUGCUAAAGGCUCGCCUUAAAGACAUAAGCACCUUGGAUGUAAUACGUUUCAUCCUUCUGGGUGGCUGAUAACCCCACAUAUUCAUGAUCUGGCCUCAAAUCAGGUAGGGCUACCCGCUGAACUUAAGCAUAUCAAUAAGCGGAGGA